rfam:Myotis davidii contig18776, whole genome shotgun sequence.
GGCAGUUCUCGGGUAAUGCACCCCAGAAUUGGGCUGCCUCCUCUCUGGUUCCAGGUGUGUCACUCAAGAACUGCA